rnacentral:rRNA from 1 species
GACGAACGCUGGCGGCGUGCUUAACACAUGCGAGUCGAACGGAAAGGCCCUGCUUUUGUGGGGUGCUCGAGUGGCGAACGGGUGAGUAACACGUGAGUAACCUGCCCUUGACUUUGGGAUAACUUCAGGAAACUGGGGCUAAUACCGGAUAGGAGCUCCUGCUGCAUGGUGGGGGUUGGAAAGUUUCGGCGGUUGGGGAUGGACUCGCGGCUUAUCAGCUUGUUGGUGGGGUAGUGGCUUACCAAGGCUUUGACGGGUAGCCGGCCUGAAAGGGUGACCGGCCACAUUGGGACUGAGAUACGGCCCAGACUCCUACGGGAGGCAGCAGUGGGGAAUAUUGCACAAUGGGCGGAAGCCUGAUGCAGCAACGCCGCGUGCGGGAUGACGGCCUUCGGGUUGUAAACCGCUUUCGCCUGUGACGAAGCGUGAGUGACGGUAAUGGGUAAAGAAGCACCGGCUAACUACGUG